GGAGCGCCACUUUGCUUGUCAUGUUCAAACCCCUGACAGUACAAGGACCAAAUCAAAUUGAAUAACCAUUUAAAGAUUAGAAUUCUAAUUAAGAUUUAGUAGACAAUUUUUUAAAAUUUAUGUGUACAUUUUUUAUGCAUUCAAAUAUAGGUAGAUGUAUAUGCAUGAGAGAAGAGAGAAUUUAAAAGAAUUAAUACUAGUCAGAAAUGAGAGCCAUAAAUUUUGGUUUUUUAAAAAAAAAAUUGAAUGGUAAAUUAUCAUUAUAUCUCUAAAUAAAAAUAACUAAAAUAAAAGAAUUUAUUAUUUUUCUUUCAAAAUUUAUGAUAUUUAUUAUUAAUGUAAUUAUACUAGAAACAACAAGAUAUAAUUUCAUAACAUAUUUCUUUUUAAAAAUAAAUAUGUAUAUAUUAACAAAUUCCACAUUUUAUGUUUUUUAAGAAGUCUUACGAGCUGCACCAAGUGUAUCUUAAAAUUAAAAUAAGUAGUUAUUAUUAGUUGACGCAUUCCUUCCGAACAAAACAGACGGGUGUACGUUAGCAAACUCGUGUGUGCACAAUCGACAACAGUGUGUGUGAUGAGUGAUGACUAAUGUGUUAGAAAAUUAAAAUAAAAUAAAAUAAAAUAAAUAAGAAGAAAAAUACAAAGUCUUGAAUUAAAUAAUUAAAUAACAGUAGCAAAAUAACUUUAAUUGGUAUAAUAUGAAACAACAAUGCACUAUAUCAUAUAAUAAGUACAAAGAAAAAAUAAAUUAGGGGGAGAAAUAAUUAGCUUGGGUUGAAGCGCGCAAGCGCUAUUCUUAGAAAGAAAACGUCCCAUUAUACUGGUAGGAAAAUCUGAUUACACUCCUCUUCCAAGAUACGACAACCCGUUGGUUCCGAUCGUGUGCAGUGAAAGGAUUCCCGAGCCUUCUGAACACCAAUGUUCUUGCUCUCAAAAUAAGUUUUUAUAAGAGAAGGAAGAGAAAAUUUUAGGGAGAAAGAAAUCAGAUUGUUUGUUGGUCUACUUGUGUGUUUUCUAGAGAAGAGGAAACAGUUAUAUAAAAUAUGACCGUUGGAAACCAACUUAUAGGUAUCAAAACAAAUUGCAUUGACCCAUUAAAACCAAAUCUUAGGAAAUCUAACUUUACAUAACAGAUUCUAAAACAAAUACUCUAUCUUAUAAAAAUAGAAUCAAUAUGAUUAACAUAUUUUUUAUAAAUUUUAAAUUAUAAAACAAAUAUUUACUAACAUUCCCCCACAUAAUUUGAAAUUUUAAAAUAGUUUUAUAAAAAAUAAUUUGUAUAGAAACGCAAGAGAAAGAGCAUGUGAUAUUAUAUUUUAAUAUAAAGAACCUUUCAGGUUUGAGCUUUAUACCUAGUGUUUAUGAACUUCCACACGAGAAAAAUGUAGUGACUUAAUUAUCUUGAACUUCGCCUUCGUUAACCGGACUUUAGUACACAACCCCUACAAUAUUGGCGUUCAAUUAGGUUCUAGUUAGUGGUAACGCGUUACACGACCUUGCGCAUGUAUCUUAUUUUAUGAGUGUCACUUAGAGAUUAGCCCAUAUCUCACAGUGGCGCCCCACCACCACACUCACUUGGUGAAUCCUCAAAGAGUAGUUAGUGACCCCUACCCCCCUACCCCUACAAUAAUUGUUAUCGAAUUCAUUAAGAUGUAUUUUUUUAUACCAAAAAUAUACAUAUAUAAAUACCUCAACCUUAAUAUUGUCACAAUUUAUAAUACAUAUUGUCAUAGGAAUGAGAAACAAAACAACUCCGUAAAAUUUUAUUUUUGUGUACUUUAGUCAACAAACAAUUUUAUUAUUUUGGUGUACUUUAGUCAAACUUCCUAAUUUUAAAGACUUGUAAGUUCACAAAGGAAUUUGAAUAAGUAAAAGAUAACUUCCUAAAAUUAAUAUAUAAAUAGAAGUAAUGAGAUGCUUUUAGUUUUUCACAUAGACUAAUUCUAAAAGCAUUUUAUCUUUACAAAACAUAAUCGAUAAAAAAAAUAUAUUUUAAUUUUAAAUUAUAAGAAAAUAUUUUCCAUCAAUCAACCACUAAUUUAAAAUUUAAGGAAAUGAAAUAAUAUAAUAAAAACAUUUUUAAUAGAGCAUAAUACAUUGUAUUUUCAUCCAUUAAUUUUUCAGGCUUACUAGAAAGGGACUCAAUCUUAUCCAUUACAGACAUUUUGAUAAAAUAGAAUGCUACUAUAGAAAAGACUAUACAAGAAGAAAGUGAGGUAUUAUCUCUAAGACUAUUAGAAAAUUAAAUUAAUAUAAAAUAAAAUAAAUAAGAAGAAAAUGCAAAGUCUUGGAUUAAAUAACAAAAUAACAGUAACAAAAUAACUUUAAUUGUUAGAACAUGAAUCAACAAUGCACUAUAUCAUACAAUAAGCACAAAGAAAAAAUAAAUAAGGGGAGAAAUAAUUAGCUUGAGUUUAAGCGCGCAAAUGCUAUCCUUAGAGAGAAAACACCCCAUUGCACUGGUAGGAAAAUCUGAUUAUGCUCUUCUCCUAAUAUACGAUAAUCCAUUGGUUCCGAUCGUGUGCACCGAAAGAAUUCUCGAAUCUUUUGAACAACAAUAUUCUUUUCUGAAAGUUUUAUAAGAGAAUGAAGAGAAAAUUUUAGAGAGAAAUUGUUGGUAUACUUGUGUGUUUUAUAGAGAGGAGGAAACACAUAUAUAAAUUGAAAACCAACUUACAGGUAUCAAAACAAACAUAAUCAAUUGCAUUAACCCAUUAAAACAAAAUAUUAGGAAAUCUAAUCUUAAAUAAUAGAUCCUAAAACAAAUAAUCUAUUUUAUAAAAACAGAAUUAAUACGAGUAAUAUAUUUUUAUAAAUUUUAAAUUAUAAAAUAAAUAUUUACUAAGAUAAUGACUAAUGAGGAAGGUUCUCGUUAUUAGCUGUUUGAGUUAAGCAUGCAUUUGCGCAUGUUGAUAAAUUUGACCGGGACUUAGUUCAUAGUUGGAGACGAGGACCCGGUCGGUAUAUAUAAAACACUUUUUGCUUUAAUACAAUACAAUAGAAGGCUAUGAAUAUGAAGAUGUCAUACUCUGCCUUGCUAGUUUUGUUCCUUUCGCUUACCUUCUUCACCGCUUCGACGCCUGCUGGGUGGACCUCUACUGCUCCACCUUCUUGUCCUCGUGAUAGUUGUGGGAUACCACGGCCACUCCCUCCUUAUAAGCCCCCACCAUUGUAUAGAUCUACUUCCAAGGGGAAACCUUAAGAUCGAUCAAUGUCCCUAUAGUACUCUUUGCAGCAGCAGCAGAAUGCGUCUAUCUCAUCUUCAGCUAGUGUGCUUAUUAGAAUAAUUUAACUUUCUCAAAUGCAUUAGGUGAAUGUCGUGAUGUGUCUUAAGCUAGUAUCUGGAUGUGAUUGAUUUAUCAUAAAAAUUAAAAGCAAAAAAAACAACGGACAGGACACAUAUAAGGGUGUGUUAUAAUUUCACAAUCGUCCUUUGCUUGUUUUUCUGUUUUAUUCAUAUUUCUCUUAUUUUGUACUUUGUUUAUUAUGGCUUUACAUUGGAAAUCAAUAAAGUAUUUUAUCUAUUUGUUUUUUUUCAUAUUUUAUUUAUGAAAAACGAAAUUGAUAAAGAGAAGGGUUGCUUCCAGGCAUACAAAACUACACCAACCAAAUCUCAGCGAGGAUUUGUAGAAUCGACC
rnacentral:lncRNA from 1 species